rnacentral:lncRNA from 1 species
ACCUAAAAAUUUAGUAAAAAAGUAAAAAUUUUGAUUGGAAAAAAAUGCAUCGAUAAGGGGGUGUGGGAAAUGGAAAUUAGUGGCUUUUUUGCUGUACUGUCUGCUAGUUUUUGCUCUGGGCACUGGCUAGAUCUCUUGUUUAAACAAUUUUAAUCAGCUGAAAGUGGCCUACAAAAAAAAACCAAGAAGGAAAUGUAUAGCCUUGUGGCUAUGAAAGGCAAAAGAGAGAUAUAAAAAGUGUAUUGGCUAGUUGGAAGAAAGUCCACAUUGUCCAUGCAUAAUAAGUUAUUACAUUAUCAACAAAUAUCAAGAAGAUAGCAGGGUCACGAGCAUCAACUUCAUGAGUUCAAGAAUAUCGAGGAAAUCCAGCUCCUCGAUACUACUGGGCAAACUAAGAAGAUUGAAGAGGACAAAUCCUUUUGAACUAGUUUGAGUGAUAGGUGAUAGUGAAAAACGGAGCAUAGUGCUUGUGUGCUGUGCCUGUGUAUGUUAGAAUAGUGCACGAUCUUGUUAGAUUAGAUAAGAGACGCUAUGGGGUAAGCUCUUCAUUUUAAGAAACAGUAGUAAUUUAGGCUAAAUUAAAAUUGCUCAUUGGUCAGUUAUGACCAGAUUGUUUUUUUAUGUUUGGCAAAAAGGACUUAAGUCAGAAUUGCACAUUGAUAAUGUUUUGAUGAUUUCUGGACCAGAAAAAAACUGUUGUAGAUGUAAACUGUAUGUACAGUAGAAUCUACUACAGUACUGUAGAAAUCAUCAAAACAUUAUCGAUGUGCAAUUCUGACUUAAGCCCUUUUUCCCAAACAUCAGAGAAUUGUAAUGUACAAUAAUUCUCCUAUCUGCUUUUUCAUGAAUUUUGUAGGAGACGAAAAACCAUUUUUAGGAUCAUCUGCUUUCACAUGUUUUGUAGUAAAUAGAUAGUUGAAUUUACUACAAAACAUGUCAAAAAAUAUAUGAAAACAGGAGGUGACUAUAAAAAAAGUUUUUAGUCUCUCUUACAAAACUCAUGAAAAAACAAAUCGGAGGUAUGUCACAUCAGUGACUAAGAAUGUCUAAAAAAUAUACUUUGAUGUCCCAAGAACCAAAUAUAACCUACAGUCCAUCUAAUUUACUUACUGUUGCACGUCAUUAUCUACGCCAGAGAUCUAAGUUGACAUAGUUGCCAAAGUAUAAAACGAUCCUGAAUCCAUUUUAAAUCAAAUAUGUCACAUAAUUAUUGUAAACGUGGAUUAUACAACAAAACAAAUUAAUAUUCAAUGUAAAUAAGUAAAAACUUAAGAAAUAGAGAACAAGAAUUAAGUUAUAAUCUUUUAAGAUUUGCAGUGCAAGAGUUUUUGCACUGCAUUGUUAAUAAUUAAAAAACGGCUCCGAACUCUUGGCAAAAAGCCGGUAGGUUUCUUUGUAUAAGUAUGUCUACAAUAACAACUAAAAAAGUUGUCAGAUACCUCGAUUAUUCCAAGUCGUUAUAAAAUUAGGUGAAAUUUAUAUUUUUAUAGUAGAGGAUCUUUUUAUAUUAAAGUAAAUAAUAAAAACAGUAAAUAUAAUAAAUAAAACAGAUACUUAUAGUAAAGAAUAUAAACAAAUAUGAAGUGUCAUCACCGUAACUGUCAAAUAAAUGUUACCAAUUUAUUCUAAAAUGUCACCUUCGUUCGAUUACAGUUACAGUGUGAUCCGAACAAAUCUGCUUCAUAAAAACGCUUUAUAAUCCAUUUAUACAAAUUAAAUGAAACAUAUUAUUGUGUAUUUCUUUAGGUUAACAUUAAUAGAAAUCUUCAAAUAUUAUUUCUACGCGUAUAUAAUAAAAUAUGUCUAGUGGCUGUAAUUCCAGUGUACUCGGCAAAGUGAUUCUAAAAAAGAACACACCUACCGCCUAAAUAUUUCGUGUUGGUAUCAUGCAACCUCACAGGCUACGAUGCGGAUGACGCGCAACAGUUAGUAAAUUAGACGAAGUAUGUAGAUAUAUACAGGGUGUAACAAAAAUACAGGUCAUAAAUUUAAUCACAUAUUCUGGGACCAAAAAUAGUUUGAUUGGACCUAACUUACCUUAGUACAAAUGUGCACACAAGAAAAGUUACAGCCCUUUGAAGUUAUAUAUAUAUAUAAUAGCACCAAGGGUCUUAGAGGCCCAUGGCUUGAAAAGUUUGUUUUUUUUCUUCAUUUUCACGUUUCUUUAUGUACUGAGAUCUUCUCUGGCUUGAUAUGUGAUUUUUCUCCAUUCCUUCCUGUUAUUCAUUUUUCUUUUCUGACCCUGUAGCACCAUUCUUUCCAAAUCUUUUUCGACCUCUUGCUUCCAUCUAUUUUUCGGCCUUCCUCUUCUCUUUCUUGAAGCUGUAGUGUAGUUUAGUACCAUUUUUGGAGUCCUCGUGUUUGGCAUCCUUUCAAUGUGACCUCGCCAUCUAAGUCUCUGUGCCUUUAUCAUUCAUUUGAAGUUACAAGAUGAAGUGAUUUUUUCCAAUAUAUCGAAAACUAUUAGAGAUUUUUUAUUGAAAAUGGACAUGUGGCAUUAUUAUGGCAGCA